AUUGCACUGUACCUAAUUUAUUAAAAGCUUAUAUAAUAGAGAAACAAGGAAGGUUUGUUUUUGUUUUUUGGUUUUUUUUCAGAGAAUGGCUCUUAUCUCAGGAAAGACUGUCAUAUACAGAUUCAUAUAUACAUAUUUGUGUAUAUACUUUUAGUAUUUAGGUGUAAUAUAUACUUUUGGUAAAUGCACACAUCUGUAUUGACAGUUGAGGAACUUGUCAUAAUCUUUUAUCUUAUUUCAGCUUGAACUAAGAACACAUGCAGUCUAAGUCACUGAUUUACAGUUCUUUUGACCUUCGAAAUCUCAGUUUGUCUGUCUCUUAAACUGCAUUGCAGGUAGAUAUGGUCUUUCCACAAUAACUUAUGGAGCACUUGGGGCCUAUUUUAGCAUCUAUGUAUUACUACCUAUAAAACUUAGUACAUACAUUUGAAGACAUCCUUUUUGGGGGAGAAAAGAUUUACAAAAUUGGACUGAUGCAUCAACCAUAGUGGAACAUAACUGAGGAGUGAAACAGCAGAUUGUUAAAACCUCCUAAUUUUAACACCUAUUAAGAACAAUCUCUGACGAAUGCCAGAAAAUACACUGCAAAAUACUAGGCAGUCUCCUGCCACAUAAAGCUUGAGUACAAGGACACUGUUUAUUAGUGGGCUCAAGCAGCUAAAGGGAAAAGGUUUUUGAUAGUGUUGGCAAAACCAAAGCACUUUAAGCCACUGUGUUCAUACAGAAUGAGUUUGCAGACACCAAUUAUAGGCAAAUUAUCACUGCUGGUACCCCUGAUAACUGACUGAAAGAUGCCAGCUGUAGAAGGAAUGAGAGCACUUUUUCCAAGACUUCAUUCCCUCACAGAGACAGAGAAAUGAUGGCAAAACCUUAGAGUCCAAUUAAGUUAACAGACUCUUACUUGGAGCACAGGAAGCAGAAUAAGGGUUUGUUCAGAACACAGCUCUCCAUAGGCUAUCAUCAGUGGUUGCCACAGCCACUGGGUCCUUCUGUGCUACACUGUGCCACUGCCUCUAUCAUCACAGUGAAGGCUGUACAUGUAAAAAUGAGCUGGCUAAUUAAUCACAAAUCAUACUAAAACAUUAACAAGAAAGAAAAGUUCCCAUGCCACUUCUCAAAAGUAUUAGGCUGUGCCCAUUUUAUUCUACUUUUUCCCAUAAAUUAUGAAGCAGUCAUUAUAUAAAGGUUUGGACUGAACUAACUCGCCCUACUUCCCAUUUAUCUCAGUGUGAUGCAUUUACUUUGGAAAUGGUUGAUUACAAGUAGAUAAUCCUGAAAUUAUAAAAGUAACUAUUGUAGCUUUAUUUUUAAAACAAAUUUUACCUUUUCAUGUCUCUAGGUACCUGUACCAUAAUAAUUUUCCUCCUCCUUGUCUAUGAAUUUCCUUAUGCAAUUUACAAAUCUGUUUGGUAUAAUAAACCCUAUUAAUCUAAGAUAAGUGCAAUAAUAUCAAAUCUAUUGAAAUAAUGAAGUUGUGAGAGAAAAUAAAUGGACAGAAGAUUUUUAGCAAUCAAAGAUGCAGAAGAUUAAAAGUCCAUUCCCUUCACAGUAGAUCUCUGAAUUCACCCAGAGAAGACUGGAUUUUCCAGGAACCAUUCAUAAUUAAAAGACAACCUAUCACUUACAGAGGAGGCCGCAAUAAUGAAUUACUUGCAUUAUCUAAUCUUCACCAUUUACCUACCUGCUUUAUAUAGGUAUAAAGUUACCAAUUCUGCUCUCAUUGUCAGCUCUAACCUCCAUUAACUCACCCUAGCUUUGGUGAGAAUGCUGACCGCUGCUCAGGGUUUCAGCUGCUGACUGAAGGAUGUCAGGCCAUCCACCUUGUUGAUCCAUCUUCUGCUUUACUGAGUUGUGCUAGGUCCUUCCUAGCUUUCAGCCAGGGCUGGAGGACAGUCAUCCCACAGGGCUGAUUUCAGAAGCUUUGUGCAGUCACAGCAGUAGUCUGACGCCACAGUUUAUGUUUCUUGGCAUUUUAAACUUCUUCAUAAUGACAUUUGUGAAGUGAAAGAUGAUAAUACCUCCCUACCACAGACACUAUUUAGAUGCUGUGAUAUGUCUGGUUCUAUAAUGAUUACCACCAGAAGGACAGAUAAUUUGACACCAAGAAGCAGUCAACAGAGUUAUUUUUGUUACAGGGUGAACUCAGUACUCUGGAGAAUGGUGCCCGGUGCAGAAGGACUUCAGAACUCUGACAUGAGUGCAUUAAAAGCAGACAAAGGAACAAAUGCAUAAUGCAUUCUAAUAGGUACUUACAUGUUAAAUAGUGGCAGUAUAUUAUUCUGAGACAUAGCUUUGAAUUUAUAAAUUCUCUGGAUUUAUAUAUUUUUAAAGCUUUUCGAUACUAUUUUUUAUAAUUAAAGCAAUGCGGCCUAAAUGCACAUAAUAGAAAGUUGCAGAACAUGCCAACACACCUUUGGGAACAUGAUUGUGUGCUACUUCUUGCAGCUUUGUUUAGUCUCAGAAAAUUAAUGCUAACAUUGAUAAGCAACAUUCACAAAUUCAGAUCAGAUAGUGCUGCUCUGCUUCAUUCAGAGAAAAAAUUAAUUUCAAAGACUUAAUCUGCUGUGCUCAGAAGCUUGAACACCCAGGGCACUCAGGCAAUGGCCAUCAGGGUUUCAUCAAUGGAUCAUCAAAUUAAGCUUUAUUUUAAUGCUAAUUUGCAUAUGUACAUGACAUUAUGGUGAGAAAUGAGUACAGUUUCAUUUGACACUUUGGUAUCUGUAAAUAACAAAUGGAUUUUUUUCUUAAUAGCAAGAUUGGUGACUUUUUUUUAAAAAAAACAAUAUUUAUCCUCCUUUAGAACUCAAAGGGAGAAAAUGUAUAAAUCUCUUAUUUAUUUUCAGGCCUAUAAGGAGCAGAGCACAUAUUUAAAGAUAAAUAAAUUUUGAAUCACAAAUGGAUCUGUCUGGGUAAACUCCAGAGACUUCUAACAAGAUACAGAACAUUUCACUCCUAUGACAUUAGUUUGAAAUUAGGCCAGGUAAACAGAGAGCAGAAGUCAUUUUCAUCUUAUAUCUGUUCAGUAGCCUACACAAAAUGAGUUGUUGGGGUUUAAUGCAUGCAUCUCCUUGGGGUCACACAGCUGCUUUUUAGAAACCAACAUUAAUCAGCAGUCAGUCUGAAUUAUGAAUAUGCACAGACAAACUAGCAGUAGUAUGCAAAUAAUCCACAUGGGAAAGGGACUACUCUAACUAAAGAUACGCAGCAGUACACUCCAAAGGAUCUGCUGCAAUUCAGGAGAAAAAUCUUGAUAUCAGCACUGGUGUUUCUUUGAAAUCAUCAACUCAAAGCAUGAAGCUCAAAAGCAAUCAGAAAGGCAAACAGAUGUUCAAAGUUACUAGGAAAUAUACAGCGAGAACAGGAAGAACUAUCAUUCCAAUGAUGUUAGUUCCACACCUGGAAUACUAUUUUCUUCUUUCAUUGCCUCAUCUUAAAAAUACUGGAGAUCUAGAAGAGUUCUUUAAAAUGUUCCUAAAAAAUACAAGAGAACAAUGAUAAUCUGAAGUUUGGCACUGAUUGAAAAUAAAGAAAAAAUAGUUAGGCAAAUUCUCAUCCUGAAGGAGGGUCAUUGAACAGGACAUAUGGAAAAAAAAGUGAUAUCAUGCAUGAAGAGAGAGAAUUGGCAUGUUUAUUCAUUUUUUCCACAUAAGAGAAAAACUAGGAGGCAUUAACUGAAAUCACUAGGGAGCAGGUAUAAAAUAAACAGAUGCACUUUUCCAUGCUAUACGUAAUUAAAUUAUGGAACACAUUGCCACAGGAUGUUACAAAACCCAAAUGUGUUUAUAAAGUGGCUAGGGAGGUCCAUAGAAGUAAGGGCCAUCAAGGAUAAUUAACACAAUGCAGUUGCAACAUCUUGUACUGGAAUGCCCAAGCUGCUGAUUGCAAGUAGCUCACAAUAUAAGCUUGGGGAAGUCUAUUUCUAUACUACCAUUUCAUUUUUAUGGUUUCCAGCAAGAUAUUUCUCACAAGCAUCUACCAUUAGGUCUGCCAAGAGAGGCCUCUCGGUUGAAUGGUGUGGCUGUUUCUACAACAGUCUAAAAAAUACUACUUGCCUAUUAUUUUUGCAAAUAUAUUCAAAGCAAAGAACCAAUUUUUUUUUUUGUGGCAAAUGUGCUUAAAAAGUAUCCAGCAUCUGAUAAAAAUGAGCAUAGGAAGCAAAAUAUUCCUCAAGGUCAAAAUACCUCUUAGAGGGAUUUUUUUUGUUGGUUGUGGUGUGGGGGUACUAAAUGCAGCUUUUUUCAUCAUUAAUUCAAAGGUCUGUGACAGUUGAAUCUCUAAAUAUGCAAACUGAAAAGUAUAUGGUGAACUUACUUGAGCAAUAACAUUAAAUUCAGGGGAAAAUCUGUUUAAUACUUCAGGAAAAAAACAAAAAUCGCCUUCAACAUCUUGUACUUCACAGGAAAAAUAUCUAUUUCAAGUUUAACUCUACAAAUGCUUAUAUUUUAUAAAAUCCUAAAAAUGAAAGCACUCAUUUCGGAUUAUUUCCUGUAGUAUUCACUAUAUUGUAAUUUAGAGAUGGAUAUGAAGUUGUAUUCACACUGAAAUUAUCCUGUUCUUCUACAAAAUGUAAUUGUGUAUUACAACACUUUUUUACUCUGCAUUUUCAAAAUGAGAAUGGCUGUCUAUACUUGUUAUAGAAGAAGUUUCAAUUUUCUGUCUGUGGAACCAGCUAUGUGCAGACAUAUAUAUUCCUUCUGUACUUACUUUCCCUGGACUUUCUAGUUUCUCAGUAUUAAAAACCAUAACAAUUAUUUUUAUUUCUUAGUGUGCUCUUGUACAUAAGUUUAUAUCAUAUAUAAAAUGUAACCAUCUAGCAUUUUAUUCUUUUAAAUCAGUAAGUUGUGUUAUCAAAGAAUUUUUGAGCAUCUGGUAUAAAAAUGUCUGCAUUUUGCUUCAACAGAAAGGACAUGUCAAUAAGAGUUGCAUAUAGGUCAAGACAAUGGAUGGAGGAACAGGACCAGUUUUAUAAGUCAAUCACUUGUCCAGCACUCUUCUGCAUGAGGGCUACAAGCAUUCAUACGUGUGUUACAAUUUUUCUCAAAAUCUUAAAAAAUAUAAAAUAACAGCUCACAUUGAACUCAUAUCAAAAGGAAUAUUUAACUAUUUAUAUGUUUAAUUUAGGAAUGUUUAACCUUCUAUCGUCAAAAUUUCCAAAGGAAAAGAAGAAAAAUAUAGCAGUUUCACAUGCUGGCACUAGUAGAACAGUGCAUCAGUAGAAUUUGCCAUUAUUGUAGUAAUCAAAUUUGAAUGUCUGGAUCAUUAUCACACAUAAUGGAUGGAAAAAUUUUUUAAGUGCUGUUUCUUUCUAUUUGAUUUGAAAUACUGUUAUGCAUCAUGAAAAAGGAUUUUCAAACGUGAAAUCUGAACUCAUCAGUCACUGGGAGCUGCUUAUCCAGGCUAUUAAAAUAAUUUUUAAAAUUACAUGUCUGGUUAAAUUUGAAGCUAAAAUGGAGAUUUUAUAUCUUCUAAAUGUCAAGAAACAAGGGAGCUUAACCAUGUUUAUGAAAGCUCACAAAAAAAAAAAAAAAAAAAAAAAAG
rnacentral:lncRNA from 1 species